GGAUAAACAGGAACGCGAUAUAUCAGAUACACCGUGUCCAUUCACAGCACGUGCUCGAAGUUCGAAAUCAUCAGCUAGUGCCGAACAAAGGUAAAGGCGGUGGAAGACGCGCGCGACGUGUCAAUGAACAAAGUCUUUGGUGUGGCCUUCUUCCUGUGAUCAAUGAUUAUAAAGCUCACAGCCCUGCCAAAAGAAGCUAUAAGCAUGAUCUCUGAGCUCUCUCGCACCACGUGCGAUAAAGAAUCGCGCGGCCUGUGCACGCACUUGUCCGGCAAAAUGGCAAGGAUGAAUGGACUGGAGAAGCAGUCGACCUCGCUUUCCA
rnacentral:lncRNA from 1 species